AUGGAACCUCUUGUUGGAUAUUCACCAGAUAAAAGUGAAAAUAUGGUUCUUAUGGGCGGUUUAAGAAAAUACAUUCCAAUCACGAGAACUACUAUUUUACGGGGUACACUUUCUCUUUGUGGUAUUCCACUCUUGCUUGCUUCUGGUCCAAAGAUGAAAUCCACAAUCUUGUUUUUGGUAUAUUUUUGGUGGGAAAGAAGGAAACUUACUCAUGGUGAACCAACCCAGAACAUUGUAAAACUAUAUGUCGAUGAUGCCUUUGAUGCAGACCUAUCAUAUGCAUCAGUCAGAGCUGUGAUACAUGGCAACAAUAGAGAG
rnacentral:rRNA from 1 species